rnacentral:rRNA from 1 species
AGAACUCGGGUGAAGGAACUAGGCAAAAUGGUGCCGUAACUUCGGGAGAAGGCACGCUGGCGGUAGGUAAAGUCCCUCGCGGACGGCGCCCAAGCCAGUCGAAGAUACCAGCUGGCUGCAACUGUUUAUUAAAAACACAGCACUGUGCAAACACGAAAGUGGACGUAUACGGUGUGACGCCUGCCCGGUGCUGGAAGGUUAAUUGAUGGGGUUAGCGCAAGCGAAGCUCCUGAUCGAAGCCCCAGUAAACGGCGGCCGUAACUAUAACGGUCCUAAGGUAGCGAAAUUCCUUGUC